UACAGAGGUCUCAAGCGUUUGUUCGGAUUCAUUGGGCGUAAAGCGCGUGUAGGCGGCUUUGCAAGUCGGGUGUGAAAGCCCUCAGCUCAACUGAGGAAGUGCGCCCGAAACUGCAGAGCUUGAGUGCCGGAGAGGGUGGCGGAAUUCCCCAAGUAGAGGUGAAAUUCGUAGAUAUGGGGAGGAACACCGGUGGCGAAGGCGGCCACCUGGACGGUAACUGACGGCUGAGACGCGAAAGCGUGGGGAGCAAACAGG
rnacentral:rRNA from 1 species